rnacentral:sRNA from 1 species
AUGUACCACGCGUGUCCUUCUGCCAUGCGCGCCGUCCGCAUCCAGCCAGCGCCUGUUCGCUGUGCGGCGCUGGCC